GGUGACUGCGUACCUUUUGUAUAAUGGGUCAGCGACUUAUAUUCUGUAGCAAGGUUAACCGAAUAGGGGAGCCGAAGGGAAACCGAGUCUUAACUGGGCGUUAAGUUGCAGGGUAUAGACCCGAAACCCGGUGAUCUAGCCAUGGGCAGGUUGAAGGUUGGGUAACACUAACUGGAGGACCGAACCGACUAAUGUUGAAAAAUUAGCGGAUGACUUGUGGCUGGGGGUGAAAGGCCAAUCAAACCGGGAGAUAGCUGGUUCUCCCCGAAAGCUAUUUAGGUAGCGCCUCGUGAAUUCAUCUCCGGGGGUAGAGCACUGUUUCGGCAAGGGGGUCAUCCCGACUUACCAACCCGAUGCAAACUGCGAAUACCGGAGAAUGUUAUCACGGGAGACACACGGCGGGUGCUAACGUCCGUCGUGAAGAGGGAAACAACCCAGACCGCCAGCUAAGGUCCCAAAGUCAUGGUUAAGUGGGAAACGAUGUGGGAAGGCCCAGACAGCCAGGAUGUUGGCUUAGAAGCAGCCAUCAUUUAAAGAAAGCGUAAUAGCUCACUGGUCGAGUCGGCCUGCGCGGAAGAUGUAACGGGGCUAAACCAUGCACCGAAGCUGCGGCAGCGACGCUUAUGCGUUGUUGGGUAGGGGAGCGUUCUGUAAGCCUGUGAAGGUGUGCUGUGAGGCAUGCUGGAGGUAUCAGAAGUGCGAAUGCUGACAUAAGUAACGAUAAAGCGGGUGAAAAGCCCGCUCGCCGGAAGACCAAGGGUUCCUGUCCAACGUUAAUCGGGGCAGGGUGAGUCGACCCCUAAGGCGAGGCCGAAAGGCGUAGUCGAUGGGAAACAGGUUAAUAUUCCUGUACUUGGUGUUACUGCGAAGGGGGGACGGAGAAGGCUAUGUUGGCCGGGCGACGGUUGUCCCGGUUUAAGCGUGUAGGCUGGUUUUCCAGGCAAAUCCGGAAAAUCAAGGCUGAGGCGUGAUGACGAGGCACUACGGUGCUGAAGCAACAAAUGCCCUGCUUCCAGGAAAAGCCUCUAAGCAUCAGGUAACAACAAAUCGUACCCCAAACCGACACAGGUGGUCAGGUAGAGAAUACCAAGGCGCUUGAGAGAACUCGGGUGAAGGAACUAGGCAAAAUGGUGCCGUAACUUCGGGAGAAGGCACGCUGAUAUGUAGGUGAAGCGACUUGCUCGUGGAGCUGAAAUCAGUCGAAGAUACCAGCUGGCUGCAACUGUUUAUUAAAAACACAGCACUGUGCAAACACGAAAGUGGACGUAUACGGUGUGACGCCUGCCCGGUGCCGGAAGGUUAAUUGAUGGGGUUAGCGGUAACGCGAAGCUCUUGAUCGAAGCCCCGGUAAACGGCGGCCGUAACUAUAACGGUCCUAAGGUAGCGAAAUUCCUUGUCGGGUAAGUUCCGACCUGCACGAAUGGCGUAAUGAUGGCCAGGCUGUCUCCACCCGAGACUCAGUGAAAUUGAACUCGCUGUGAAGAUGCAGUGUACCCGCGGCAAGACGGAAAGACCCCGUGAACCUUUACUAUAGCUUGACACUGAACAUUGAGCCUUGAUGUGUAGGAUAGGUGGGAGGCUUUGAAGUGUGGACGCCAGUCUGCAUGGAGCCGACCUUGAAAUACCACCCUU
rnacentral:rRNA from 1 species